GGUCUGUCAAAAAUGUAUAACUGAGAGUCUACGGCAGCGUGCAAUUGAAUGAAGAUGAGAUUUUGAGAAUUCGAAGACCAGAUUUUAACUGCCACAUGUUCCACUUCACCCAACGUGGCGUGUACUUUGCUGUUCUUAGAGCUUAUAUUGACUGCCGAUUAGUGUUGUUGGUGGAAAGGACAAACGUGUAGCAUCAUACAGAAGUUUAGCGUAAGAUCUGGUUGUUAUCACAUUGCCCAACAAGGGAGACAUCGGCCUAGUGAAAUCAACUGGGACAAGAUCUUCAUGUGGAAGUUGUUGAUCGGCUGAUGAAAGACUGACUUUCAGGAUUCCCCAGGUUUGAAUCAUCCAUGCACAUAUUUUUCCAAUGUGGUUUAGCUCUCUCUAGGUUGUAGUUGAACGCAGGUUGGUUCCAUGGUAACUCUAUUCAUGAUUGUGUGAAAUGGAUAAUUGAACACCUCCUACCUUUACCGGACUACGACGGAAAUGUUAGUUAUAGAGUAGCAGUUUUGUGGUCUCUCUGGAAAGCACAAAAUGUUGACAUCUUUGAGCAUAAGAACUAGACGAUGGAGCAUAUUCUCGAACAAGCCAAUUAAUUUGCGUUGUGCAACAGAGCAUCUACUACCGGACUGCCAACUGAGUUUCCUAGAUCAAAUGGACUGAAACAAGAGAGAAAAGGAACUUGGGCUACUAUCUUGAGAGAUCAUGCUGGCCAAGUACUGGGAUGAAUUGCAAUAUUUUCAAUAAAUGCAACAACGUGGAUCUAUGACUGAGAGGAGCUAUUAUUUUGAUUAUUUUCAUGGCAUCGCUCCAAUCCCACAAGACAUGGCUCUAGUUAUUGAUAAUGUGUCAACAGUUUCAAUUUCAUUUUAUUCUUCGCUCAGGUAAUUAGGAGGUCAAUUCUUUGGCCAAAUAGCUCGGAUGCAACGGUAGGCUGAUAUGUGCUCUUUGAAAGUGUAUUUUCAAGUAACAAAUGGAAGAAUAUAAAAGAACCCUAAUCA